rnacentral:rRNA from 1 species
UCCUACGGGAGGCAGCAGUGAGGAAUAUUGGUCAAUGGGCGCGAGCCUGAACCAGCCAAGUAGCGUGAAGGAUGACUGCCCUACGGGUUGCAAAUUUCUUUUAUAAAGGAAUAAAGUGAGGCACGUGUGCCUUUUUGUAUGUACUUUAUGAAUAAGGAUCGGCUAACUCCGUGCCAGCAGCCGCGGUAAUACGGAGGAUCCGAGCGUUAUCCGGAUUUAUUGGGUUUAAAGGGAGCGUAGAUGGGUUGUUAAGUCAGUUGUGAAAGUUUGCGGCUCAACCGUAAAAUUGCAAUUGAUACUGGCAG